GAUUUCUGGCUUGAAACAUUUUGCCGGCCACGGUUUCGUGUGUUAGUGCUUGAUGUUCUGGCCAUCCUUCCAAUCGCCAUCGGCUUAUCUUCAUUGAUCGGUCGGUGGUAUUGGAUCUUUUACUUUGAAAAAAUUAGAGUGUUUAAAGCAGGCUUUUGCUAUGAAUACAUUAGCAUGGAAUAAUAAUUUAGGACUUCGGUUCUAUUUUGUUGGUUUCUAGAACUGAAGUAAUGAUUGAUAGGGAUAGUUGGGGGUGCUAGUAUUCAGUGGCCAGAGGUGAAAUUCUCGGAUUCACUGAAGACUAACUUAUGCGAAAGCAUU
rnacentral:rRNA from 1 species